CCUGGCUUAGGAUGAACGCUGGCGGCAUGCCUAAGACAUGCAAGUCGAACGAGACGACCUUAGAAAGCUGCGUGACUUGCACAAGGGCUGGAAAGAAGAUCAUCGUCUAGUGGCAGACGGGUGAGUAACACGUGGGUAACCUACCUUUAAGCUGGGGAUAACAGUUGGAAACGAUUGGCUAAUACCGAAUAAGAUAUUCGUAUUGAAAGAAGCCCUUAAAGCUUCACUUAAAGAUGGGCCUGCGGCGUAUUAACUAGUUGGGUGAGGUAAUGGCUCACCAAGGUAACGAUGCGUAGCCGAACUGAGAGGUUGAACGGCCACACUGGGACUGAGACACGGCCCAGACUCCUACGGGAGACAGCAGUUAGGAAUAUUCGUCAAUGGGGGGAACCCUGAACGAGCAAUGCCGCGUGAGUGAAUGAAGGCCCUAUGGGUUGUAAAACUCUGUUGUAUGGGAAGAACGGCCAUAUUAGGAAAUGAAUAUGGAGUGACGGUACCAUACCAGAAAGCUCCGGCUAACUACGUGCCAGCCGCCGC
rnacentral:rRNA from 1 species